rnacentral:rRNA from 1 species
UCGAGAAUUUUUCACAAUGGGCGCAAGCCUGAUGGAGCGACGCCGCGUGGGGGAUGAAUGGCUUCGGCCCGUAAACCCCUGUCAUUUGCGAGCAAGGCGCGUUAUUUAAAAGAUGACGUGUUGAUAGUAGCGAAAGAGGAAGGGACGGCUAACUCUGUGCCAGCAGCCGCGGUAAUACAGAGGUCCCGAGCGUUGUUCGGAUUCACUGGGCGUAAAGGGUGCGUAGGUGGUGAGGCAAGUCGGAUGUGAAAUACUGGAGCUUAACUCCGGAACUGCAUUGGAAACUGCCUUGCUUGAGGUUUGGAGGGGGGACUGGAAUUCUCGGUGUAGCAGUGAAAUGCGUAGAUAUCGAGAGGAACACCAGUGGCGAAGGCGAGUCCCUGGACAACACCUGACACUG